CAGUAGCCACGGUAAUACGUAGGGUGCAAGCGUUAAUCGGAAUUACUGGGCGUAAAGCGUGCGCAGGCGGUUAUAUAAGUCAGAUGUGAAAUCCCCGGGCUCAACCUGGGAACUGCAUUUGAGACUGUAUGGCUAGAGUGUGUCAGAGGGGGGUAGAAUUCCACGUGUAGCAGUGAAAUGCGUAGAUAUGUGGAGGAAUACCGAUGGCGAAGGCAGCCCCCUGGGAUAACACUGACGCUCAUGCACGAAAGCGUGGGGAGCAAACAGGAUUAGAUACCCGCGUAGUCCCUGUCUCUUAUAC
rnacentral:rRNA from 1 species